rnacentral:lncRNA from 1 species
UCUCUUAUGGUUUUUUGUAUUUCUGCUGUAUCCGUUGUGAUUUCUCCUUUUUCAUUUAUAAUUUUGGUGAUUUGGGUUCUUUCUCUCCUCUUUUUAGUGAGUCUGGCCAGGGGUUUGUCAAUUUUGUUCACCUUUUCAAAGAACCAGCUCUGGGUUUUAUUAACUUUCUCUAUUGUUUUUUGAGUCUCUAUUUUAUUGAUUUCUUCUUUGAUCUUUAUAAUUUCCUUCCUUCUGCUGACUUUAGGACUUUUUUGUUCUUCUUUUUCUAAUUCGUUUAGGUGGAGGGUUAAGUUGUCAAUUUGGGAUCUUUCUUCUUUUUUGAGAAAGGCCUGUAUUGCUAUAAAUUUCCCUCUGAGCACUGCUUUUGCAGAAUCCCAUAGAUUUUGAGAGGUUGUGUCUUCAUUAUCAGUUGUUUCAAGGUAGUUUUUAAUUUCCUUCUUGAUUUCCUCAUUGACCCAUUGGUUUUUUAGUAGCAUGUUGUUUAGUCUCCAUGGAGUAGGUUUUUUCUCUUUGCUUUUCCCAUGGUUGAUUUCUAAUUUCAUGGCAUUGUGGUCAGAGAAGAUACUUGAGAUAAUUUCUACGCUCCUAAAUUUAUUGAGAUUCGCUUUGUGUCCCAAUAUGUGGUCGAUUCUUGAGAAUGUUCCAUGAGCAUUUGAGAAGAAUGUGUAUUCUGCUUUUUUUGGAUGUGGUGUCCUGAAGAUAUCAAUUAAGUCUAACUUUUCUAUUGUUUCCUUUAGAAUCUCUGUUGCUUUAUUGGUUUUUUGUCUAGAUGAUCUGUCCAUUGAUGUGAGGGGGGUAUUAAGGUCUCCUACUAUGAUUGUAUUCUCAUCAGUAUCUCCCUUUAUGUCUGUUAAUAUUUGUUGUAUGUAUCUGGGUGCUCCUAUAUUUGGGGCAUAUAUGUUGAUGAUAGUAACAUCCUCUCCUUGGAUGGAUCCCUUAAUCAUUAAAUAGUGUCCUUCUUUGUCUUUCUUUAUGUCUUUUGUUUUAAAGUCUAUUUUGUCUGAUAUGAGUGUUGGGACUCCUGCUUUUCUGUCAUGUCUAUUGGCGUGAAAUAUUUUUCCCCACCCUUUCAUUUUCAAUCUAUAUGUAUCUUUUGUCCUAAGGUGAGUUUCUUGUAGGCAGCAUAUUGAAGGUUUUUGCCUUUUUAUCCACUCAGCCACUCUGUGUCUUUGAUUGGGACAUUCAGCCCAUUAACAUUUAAGGUGAUAAUUGAUAGAUGAUUAUUUAUUGCCAUUUGAACCUCAUCCUCGUGGUCCAGUUGAUACUAUGGUUCUCCAUUCUUCCUUUCUUUCUUUUUUUUUUUUUUUUUUUUUUUUGGUUGGAUGGUCUCCUGUUAUUAUCUGCUUGAGUGUAUUUUUUUUUCAUUUUUUGCAAAUGCAAUAUUUGGUUUUGGCUUGUGGUUGCCCUGUUUUUUAAAUAUGCUAACCCCUUCCCAUAGUUGUGUGUUUUAGCCUGAUGGUGCUGUAAGUUCAAACACUUCAUUACUAUAUUAAAAUUAAGAAGAGAGACAUACAAACAAACAAAAAGGGUUAUUUACCUCCUGACAUCCCUUGCCCACAUUUUAUGGUUUUGAUGACUCUUUUUUAUUUUUUUCUUUUUAAUUUUAUUUUGUUUGAAGCAUGUUCAUGAUUAAAUCUGUAUGCUGGCUUAUUUGAGUGACUGCUCUCUGAUUGCAGUUUCCUCAGUCCUAGUUCUUCCUCUUCUUCUUCUUCCUUUUUUUUUCUUUUCUUUUUUCUUCCCUUUCCUUCCUUGCUUUUUGGUUUAGAGAAGCCCUUUCAAUAUUUCCUUUAACCUGGGUUUUAUGUUGCUGUAUUCUUUAAGUUUUUGUUUGUUGGGAAAUAUUUUUAUUUCCCCUUCUAUUUUAAAUGAUAUUCUUGCUGGAUAGAGUAUUCUAGGUUGCAUAUUUUUUCCUUUGAGCACUUUAAAUAUCUCUUGCCAUUCCCUCCUGGCCUGUAGUGUUUCUGUGGAGAAAUCAGCUGAUAUUCUUAUGGGGGUUCCCUUGUAGGUAACAUUCUGUUUUUCUCUUGCUGCCUUGAGGAUCCUCUCUUUAUCACUAACUUUUGCCAUUUUUAUUAUGAUGUGUCUUGGUGUGGGUCUGUUUGGGUUCAGUUUGUUUGGGGCCCUCUGUGCUUCUUGUAUCUUGAACCCAGUGUCCUUUAGAUUUGGGAAGUUUCCAGCAAUAAUUUCUUCAAAUAUAUUUUCCAUCCCCUUAUCUUUUUCUACUCCUUCUGGAAUCCCUAUUAUGCGUAGAUUGGCCCGCUUUAUAUUAUCCCAUAGGUCUCUUAUAUUGCUUUCCAGUUUUUUGAUUCAGUUUUCUGUCUGUUGACUGGAUUGAGUGAUUUCCAUUAUUCUAUCUUCCAUAUCACUGAUUCGUUCUUCUGCAUUAUUCAUUCUGUUUUUUACUGCCCCUAGUUCAGUUUGCAUCUCUGCAAAUGAAUGUUCUAGUUUUUCUUGGCUCCUCCUUAUAUUUUCUAGUUCUUUUCUGAGGGUAUCUGCAUUACUGUUCAUAUCUUCUCUUAAUUCCUUCAGUAUUUUCACUAUUUCUCUUUUGAACUCCAGGUCUGUCUGACUGCAGAGAUCUGUUUCAUUGCUGACUGUUUUAGGUGAGUUCUCCUGUUGGUUUGACUGGGGGUGGUUUCUCAGCUUCUUCAUCUUGCUUGUUGUUUUCUUUCUCCUGAGGGAGUUGUACUCUCCGUGAUCGGGCAGUGUUUGCUUUGUCACUGCCGUGGAAUAUUUCCUGAGGGCUGGCGUUGUUGGUCAAUCUUUUUUGAGGCAGUGUGGAUUUUCUGGAGUGUUGAUGGGGCUAACAGUGUUUCUUUGAAGCAAAGGAGGGCUUCCUGAGGGCAGACAGGACUGGGAGGUCCACACCACGAUGGUAGCAGAUUUCACUUGGCCAUGCAGAGCUUGCUCUGGUGUUUUUAGGCUGUGGGGUUCUUGCAGGGGGUUGGCAGUGUUGGGCAGCUGCUCCUCAGGAGUGCUGGGAGCUGGGGGCACCCCCUGGGGGCUGGAGCAGCUAUCUUGGUCACUGAGAACCUAAGAGGCUCUUCCCUAGGGCAGCCCAACUCAGAAGGACAGCCUGAGAAUGUAGGCGGAUCUUUUCACAAUCUGGCCGAGCUUGUUGCAGCUUUUCUGGGCUGCAGGGGCUCUUCCAGGGGGCUGGUGGUGCUGAGCAGUUAUUUCACGGGGGUGGGGCACACCCUGGGGGCCUGGGCGGGUAGCAGGGCCACUGGAAACCCAAAAGGCUCCUCCCCAGGGCAGCCCGACUCAGAAAGACCGUCUGAGAUCUUUUCCCAACUCGGCCAGGCUUGUUGCAGCUUUUCUGGGCUGCAGGGGGUCCUGCCUGGAGCUAGCAGUCCUAUGCAGCUGGUCCACUAGGUCUCGGCACCCCCUGGGGGCUUGGGCGGGUAGCAGGGCCGUUGGAGACCCAAGAGGCUCUUCCCCAGGGCAGCCCAACUCAGAAAAACUGUCUGAGAUCUUUUCCCGACUCGGCCAGGCUUGUUGCAGCUUUUCUGGGCUGCAGGGGGUCCUGCCUAGAGCUGGCAGUCCUAUGCAGCUGAUCCACUAGAGCAUCCCCUGGGGGCUUGGGCAGGUAGCAGGGCCAUUGGAAACCCAAGAGGCUCCUCCCUGGGGCAACCCGACUCAGAAAAACCAUCCGAGAAUUAGGCCGAUCUAUUCACGGCCUGGCUAAGCUUGUUCUAGCUUUUCUGGGCUGCAGGCCUUUUCUCGGGGGCUGGUGCUGUUUGGUGCUGCUCUGCGGAAGUGUAGCCCCUCCAAAGGGCAAGCAGGCCUGUGCAGGGACAGCCCCUGUGGUGGUAGGCUUCAGGCAAUUGUUGGGGCCAGCCCUCCUGGAUGGCAGGCAGCCCCAGGUCCAGUGAGAGCAUAGGGGGUGGCGGGGGUGGGGGGAGGGAAUGCACUGGGAAGCAGAGUUUUCAGCUAGCUAGCGGGCCUGUAAGCUUGCUGUGGCGUGGGGGGUAUUCUAUGGGGACCCACCCCUUCUCUCCCCUCCCCAGCACGGGCGCAGACCAGGCUCUUCUCCCAGGUUCCCUCUGAUGUGGCUUUCCACUUCCCCGCCCCUAGAGUAUUGUUCCCUUCCUCUGCAACAGCUUUGUUUUCUAAUCUCCCAGGCAGUCUCUGCCCCGUCAACUGGUUUCUAGACCUCCCAAGCAGUUUCCGCUCCGCCCUGCCCCCCCAGCCCGGGGACUAACCUCUGGAGCCGAGGUCUCGGUGCCCAGCCCCCACCCAGGCGUCUCAAUUUUUGGUGACUGUGCCCGUAGUUCAGAUGGUCUGUUGGGUUCUUGAUCGGCUUUUCCUUACUCCAACUUACUGCUACACUCUUCUCUGCAUCUGGAGAUUCCUCCGGUUUGUUUGAUCUUUCCCCGGGUAGGUGACUUUCCAGGGUGCAGGAUCCCUUUCUCCUCCGCAGUUCCCUUUCGGGAGCACCCGUCCCGCUCGGAUUCACCUUCUCUCACUCUCCUCUUUUCUCCCGUUCUGCCCAGUAAUGUCACGAACUUCUUGCCGUUAUUGGAGUUUAGGUUCCUCUGCCAGCGAUUGGUUGCUGUUCUGUGCGAGUCAUUUAUUCUGUAGAUGUGCUUUUUUUGUUGUGUUUGUGGGGGAGGGCGAGCAUGUCCCCCUACUCCUCCGCCAUCUUGUCCUCUCUCCCCCAUGUUCCAGGUUCUGUUAAUAUGGGGUAUGUGGGUUACACUGACUUACCCCUUCCAAGGCCAUGUAGAGAAGAACCUGUUCUCUCGUCUAGGACUAAGCUUGAUCUGACCUCUAACCCAUGAUAUAAUAUUUUUAAAUCUAUCAUAAACAUUCAUAAAAUUUAAAAUCAGAGACAUGAGAUUCGAAGGUUCCAAAGUGUCUAUGUUCUUCAUAUGAAGACAUUUUUCUAACAUAUGUAGUAAAAACUCAAUCUGAAACUUCAUUUUAAUAAUUUCACCAGAUUAAUCCGAGCUCUUCAUUCAGCACGUGCUAACCAAUAACUGAGUCUCACCAAAUGUUCACUUGAUGGCUCUGCCCCUUCCUGCAUUCACAUGCUGUAUAUAUUUCAAGACACCAUUGUGUUUCUUUCCAAACUUGUGCAUUCCCAUUAAAUUAUUACUUCAUAAUUUAAUUAAAUAUUACAAAAGCUUAUGAGCCAUGAAUAAGAAAAUAAAGUUGCUGCUUCUAUUAAAAUUGAGAAUAAUUCUUUAAAAAGACUAAAUAUAUAGAAAUGAUGAUAAAAAAUCACAAUUAAUUGGGUGGAGGCAGAAAAAUGUAAACAAACUAGAAGGAAAAAAGUAAUAAAAAUUCAGAACUCUGCACUUAGAAUAUUUUUACUUUUUAAAGUUCUUACUUUGC